rnacentral:rRNA from 1 species
UACGUAGGGUCCGAGCGUUGUCCGGAAUUACUGGGCGUAAAGAGCUCGUAGGUGGUUUGUCGCGUUGUCCGUGAAAACUCACAGCUCAACUGUGGGCGUGCGGGCGAUACGGGCAGACUGGAGUACUGCAGGGGAGACUGGAAUUCCUGGUGUAGCGGUGGAAUGCGCAGAUAUCAGGAGGAACACCGGUGGCGAAGGCGGGUCUCUGGGCAGUAACUGACGCUGAGGCGCGACAGCGUGGGGAGCAAACAGG